rnacentral:rRNA from 1 species
AUUGAACGCUGGCGGCAUGCCUUACACAUGCAAGUCGAACGGUAACAGGUCUUCGGAUGCUGACGAGUGGCGAACGGGUGAGUAAUACAUCGGAACGUGCCCGAUCGUGGGGGAUAACGAAGCGAAAGCUUUGCUAAUACCGCAUACGAUCUACGGAUGAAAGCAGGGGACCGCAAGGCCUUGCGCGAACGGAGCGGCCGAUGGCAGAUUAGGUAGUUGGUGGAAUAAAAGCUUACCAAGCCGACGAUCUGUAGCUGGUCUGAGAGGACGACCAGCCACACUGGGACUGAGCCACGGCCCAGACUCCUACGGGAGGCAGCAGUGGGGAAUUCUGGACAAUGGGCGAAAGCCUGAUCCAGCCAUGCCGCGUGCAGGAUGAAGGCCUUCGGGUUGUAAACUGCUUUUGUACGGAACGAAAAGACUCUGGUUAAUACCUGGGGUCCAUGACGGUACCGUAAGAAUAAGCACCGGCUAACUACGUGCCAGCCGCCGCAGUAAAAC